AAUGAACGCUGGCGGCAUGCCUAACACAUGCAAGUCGAACGAGACCUUCGGGUCUAGUGGCGCACGGGUGCGUAACGCGUGGGAACCUGCCCUUAGGUUCGGAAUAACUCCCCGAAAGGGGUGCUAAUACCGGUUAAUGUCUUCGGACCAAAGAUUUAUCGCCUUUGGAUGGGCCCGCGUUGGAUUAGCUAGUUGGUAGGGUAAAAGCCUACCAAGGCGACGAUCCAUAGCUGGUCUGAGAGGAUGAUCAGCCACACUGGGACUGAGACACGGCCCAGACUCCUACGGGAGGCAGCAGUGGGGAAUAUUGGACAAUGGGCGAAAGCCUGAUCCAGCAAUGCCGCGUGAGUGAUGAAGGCCUUAGGGUUGUAAAGCUCUUUUACCCGGGAUGAUAAUGACAGUACCGGGAGAAUAAGCUCCGGCUAACUCCGUG
rnacentral:rRNA from 1 species